rnacentral:rRNA from 1 species
CCUACGGGCGGCAGCAGUGAGGAAUAUUGGUCAAUGGACGCGAGUCUGAACCAGCCAAGUAGCGUGAAGGAUGACUGCCCUAUGGGUUGUAAACUUCUUUUAUAAAGGAAUAAAACGAGGCACGUGUGCCUUUUUGCAAGUACCUUAUGAAUAAGGAUCGGCUAACUCCGUGCCAGCAGCCGCGGUAAUACGGAGGAUCCGAGCGUUAUCCGGAUUUAUUGGGUUUAAAGGGUGCGUAGAUGGGUUGUUAAGUUAGUGGUGAAAGUUUGCGGCUCAACCGUAAAAUUGCCAUUGAUACUGGCAGUCUUGAGUACAGUUGAGGUAGGCGGAAUGCGUGGUGUAGCGGUGAAAUGCUUAGAGAUCACGAAGAACCCCGAUUGCGAAGGCAGCUUACUAAACUGUGACUGACAUUGAUGCACGAAAGUGUGGGUAGCAAACAGGAUUAGAUACCCUUGUAGUC